UCCCAACGAAGAAACAUUUCACACGUCUUACUUCCUGUCCUAGUCCCAGAGCCUGUAAAGGUGAACCCACUGGGGCUGGCUGGGGGAGAAGAGGAAAAGCUUGUUCCAGAAGGAACUGUCUGAGGGAU
rnacentral:snoRNA from 1 species